rnacentral:rRNA from 1 species
UACGUAGGGUGCAAGCGUUGUCCGGAAUUAUUGGGCGUAAAGAGCUCGUAGGCGGUCUGUCACGUCGGCUGUGAAAACCCGAGGCUCAACCUCGGGCCUGCAGUCGAUACGGGCAGACUUGAGUUCGGUAGGGGAGACUGGAAUUCCUGGUGUAGCGGUGAAAUGCGCAGAUAUCAGGAGGAACACCGGUGGCGAAGGCGGGUCUCUGGGCCGAUACUGACGCUGAGGAGCGAAAGCGUGGGGAGCGAACAGG